rnacentral:rRNA from 1 species
UACGUAGGGUGCAAGCGUUGUCCGGAAUUAUUGGGCGUAAAGAGCUCGUAGGCGGUCUGUCGCGUCGGCUGUGAAAACUCGGGGCUCAACCCCGAGCCUGCAGUCGAUACGGGCAGACUAGAGGUAUGCAGGGGAGAAUGGAAUUCCUGGUGUAGCGGUGAGAUGCGCAGAUAUCAGGAGGAACACCAGUGGCGAAGGCGGUUCUCUGGGCAUUACCUGACGCUGAGGAGCGAAAGUGUGGGGAGCGAACAGG